rnacentral:rRNA from 1 species
UACGUAGGGUGCAGGCGUUAAUCGGAAUUACUGGGCGUAAAGCGUGCGUAGGCGGUUUCUUAAGUCAGAUGUGAAAGCCCCGGGCUUAACCUGGGAACUGCGUUUGAAACUGGGAGACUUGAGUGUGGCAGAGGGGGGUGGAAUUCCACGUGUAGCAGUGAAAUGCGUAGAUAUGUGGAGGAACACCGAUGGCGAAGGCAGCCCCCUGAGUUAACACUGACGCUCAUGCACGAAAGCGUGGGGAGCAAACAGG